rnacentral:rRNA from 1 species
AUUGAACGCUGGCGGCAGGCCUAACACAUGCAAGUCGAGCGGAAGAAGGGAGCUUGCUCCUGGAUUCAGAGGCGGACGGGUGAGUAAUGCCUAGGAAUCUGCCUGGUAGUGGGGGAUAACGUCCGGAAACGGGCGCUAAUACCGCAUACGUCCUGAGGGAGAAAGUGGGGGAUCUUCGGACCUCACGCUAUCAGAUGAGCCUAGGUCGGAUUAGCUAGUUGGUGGGGUAAAGGCCUACCAAGGCGACGAUCCGUAACUGGUCUGAGAGGAUGAUCAGUCACACUGGAACUGAGACACGGUCCAGACUCCUACGGGAGGCCGCAGUGGGGAAUAUUGGACAAUGGGCGGAAGCCUGAUCCAGCCAUGCCGCGUGUGUGAAGAAGGUCUUCGGAUUGUAAAGCACUUUAAGUUGGGAGGAAGGGCAGUAAGUUAAUACCUUGCUGUUUUGACGUUACCAACAGAAUAAGCACCGGCUAACUUCGUG